AACGCUGGCGGCGUGCCUAAUACUUGCAAGUCGAACGGAACUACCUUCAGGUACUUUAAUGGCGAACGGGUGAGUAAUACGUAGGUAACCUCCCCUUUAGACCACGAUAGCCAUUGGGAAAGAUGGAUAAAACUGGAUAGGAUAUAGAGGAAGAAUCCACUGUAUUUAAAAGAAGAGAUCUGCUUAAGGAGGGGCCUGUGGCGCAUUAGCUAGUUGGUGGGGUAAUGGCCUACCAAGGCGAUGAUGCGUAGCCGGACUGAGAGGUUGAACGGCCACAAUGGAGCUGAGAACGGUCCAUACUCUUACGGGAGGCAGCAGUAGGGAAUUUUCGGCAAUGGGGGGAACCCUGACCGAGCAACGCCGCGUGAACGAAGAAGUUAUUCAUAAUGUAAAGUUCUUUUAACAGGGAAGAAAGAGAAAUUUGACGGUACACGAAGAAUAAGCUCUGGCUAACUACGUGCCAGCAGCCGCGGUAAUACGUAGGGAGCGAGCGUUAUCCGGAAUUAUUGGGCGUAAAGGGUGUGUAGAUGGUAUAGUAAGUAUUUUGUAAAAAUGAUGGGCUCAACCCAGUAGGGCAAAAGAUACUGCAAAGCUAGAGUAUGACAGAGGCAUGUGGAACUACAUGUGUAGCGGUAAAAUGCGUAAAUAUACUGUAAGAACACCAGUGGGGAAGGCGGCUUGUUGGGUCGAUACUGACUUUGAGGCAUGAAAGCGUGGCGAGCAAAC
rnacentral:rRNA from 1 species